rnacentral:tRNA from 12 species
GGUCCCGUAGCUCAGCAGGAUAGAGCAUCAGAUUCCUAAUCUGAGGGUCGCGCGUUCGAAUCGCGCCGGGAUCACCA